rnacentral:rRNA from 1 species
CAAACUUAAAGGAAUUGACGGGGACCCGCACAAGCGGUGGAUGAUGUGGUUUAAUUCGAUGCAACGCGAAAAACCUUACCCACCUUUGACAUGUAUGGAAUCCCGCAGAGAUGUGGGAGUGCUCGCAAGAGAGCCAUAACACAGGUGCUGCAUGGCUGUCGUCAGCUCGUGUCGUGAGAUGUUGGGUUAAGUCCCGCAACGAGCGCAACCCUUGCCAUCAGUUGCUACGAAAGGGCACUCUGAUGGGACUGCCGGUGACAAACCGGAGGAAGGUGGGGAUGACGUCAAGUCCUCAUGGCCCUUAUAGGUGGGGCUACACACGUCAUACAAUGGCCGGUACAAAGGGCAGCGAAGCCGCGAGGUGAAGCCAAUCCCAUAAAGCCGGUCGUAGUCCGGAUCGCAGUCUGCAACUCGACUGCGUGAAGUCGGAAUCGCUAGUAAUCGUGGAUCAGCAUGUCACGGUGAAUACGUUCCCGGGUCUUGUACACACCGCCCGUCACACCAUGGGAGCGGGUCUCACCAGAAGCAGGUAGCCUAACCGCAAGGAGGGCGCUUGCCACGGUGGGGUUCGUGAC